UACAGAGGGGGCAAGCGUUAUUCGGAAUUAUUGGGCGUAAAGGGCGCGUAGGCGGCCUGACAAGUGGAAGGUGAAAUCCCUCGGCUUAACCGAGGAACUGCCUUCCAAACUGUUUGGCUUGAGUCCGGGAGAGGCGAGUGGAAUUCCCAGUGUAGCGGUGAAAUGCGCAGAUAUCAGGAAGAACACCUAUGGCGAAGGCAGCACUCUGGGACGGUACUGACGCUGAGACGCGAAAGCGUGGGGAGCGAACAGG
rnacentral:rRNA from 1 species